UACGUAGGGGGCAAGCGUUGUCCGGAAUCAUUGGGCGUAAAGCGCGUGUAGGCGGUUCGAUAAGUCUGCUGUGAAAGUCCAGGGCUCAACCCUGGAAAGCCGGUGGAUACUGUCAGACUAGAGUGCGGAAGAGGCGAGUGGAAUUCCCGGUGUAGCGGUGAAAUGCGCAGAUAUCGGGAAGAACACCCGUGGCGAAGGCGGGUUGCUGGGCUGACACUGACGCUGAGGCGCGAAAGCCAGGGGAGCGAACGGG
rnacentral:rRNA from 1 species